rnacentral:rRNA from 1 species
AGUUUGAUCCUGGCUCAGAGUGAACCGCUGGCGGUAGGCCUAACACAUGCAAGUCGAACGGCAGCACAGGAGAGCUUGCUCUCUGGGUGGCGAGUGGCGGACGGGUGAGGAAUACAUCGGAAUCUACUUUUUCGUGGGGGAUAACGUAGGGAAACUUACGCUAAUACCGCAUACGACCUACGGGUGAAAGCAGGGGAUCUUCGGACCUUGCGCGAUUGAAUGAGCCGAUGUCGGAUUAGCUAGUUGGCGGGGUAAAGGCCCACCAAGGCGACGAUCCGUAGCUGGUCUGGGAGGAUGAUCAGCCACACUGGAACUGAGACACGGUCCAGACUCCUACGGGAGGCAGCAGUGGGGAAUAUUGGACAAUGGGCGCAAGCCUGAUCCAGCCAUACCGCGU